GCUGUCAGAAAGCAAGUAUCGAAGCUUCGGGAACAGGUCGCUCGCUAGCAACAGCAAUUGGUGCCUAUGAUGCAUAUGGCUCCGGUGGCAGCACAAGUCCAAAUCCCCUAGAUUUUGAAGCUAAUGUCAGGGCAAGAUUUUAUCCCAGGGUUUCAACUGCUUUCUUCAUGAAGAAAUUAGUUGGGAAUCAACUUUGCAAAUAACAAGCUGCUGUAGCUGAUUGUUAAGGAAAAAACAUCAUGUUCUAAUAUAUUUACAGCAUAU